rnacentral:rRNA from 1 species
CGCCGCGGAGGGAUCAUUA